CAGCCGCCGCGGUAAUACCAGCACCUCGAGUGGUCAGGACGUUUAUUGGGCCUAAAGCAUCCGUAGCCGGCUUUGCAAGUCUUCGGUUAAAUCCACCUGCUCAACAGAUGGGCCGCUGGAGAUACUACAAAGCUAGGGAGUGGGAGAGGCAGACGGUAUUCAGUGGGUAGGGGUAAAAUCCUCUGAUCCAUUGAGGACCACCAGUGGCGAAGGCGGUCUGCCAGAACACGUUCGACGGUGAGGGAUGAAAGCUGGGGGAGCAAACCGG
rnacentral:rRNA from 1 species